rnacentral:rRNA from 1 species
GACGAACGCUGGCGGCGUGCCUAAUACAUGCAAGUAGAACGCACAGUUUAUACCGUAGCUUGCUACACCAUAAACUGUGAGUUGCGAACGGGUGAGUAACGCGUAGGUAACCUGCCUGGUAGCGGGGGAUAACUAUUGGAAACGAUAGCUAAUACCGCAUAAUAUUAAUUAUUGCAUGAUAAUUGAUUGAAAGAUGCAAUUGCAUAACUACCAGAUGGACCUGCGUUGUAUUAGCUAGUAGGUGAGGUAACGGCUCACCUAGGCGACGAUACAUAGCCGACCUGAGAGGGUGAUCGGCCACACUGGGACUGAGACACGGCCCAGACUCCUACGGGAGGCAGCAGUAGGGAAUCUUCGGCAAUGGACGAAAGUCUGACCGAGCAACGCCGCGUGAGUGAAGAAGGUUUUCGGAUCGUAAAGCUCUGUUGUAAGAGAAGAACGGGUGUGAGAGUGGAAAGUUCACACUGUGACGGUAUCUUACCAGAAAGGGACGGCUAACUACGU